rnacentral:rRNA from 1 species
GACGAACGCUGGCGGCGUGCUUAACACAUGCAAGUCGAACGGAAAGGCCCUUCGGGGUACUCGAGUGGCGAACGGGUGAGUAACACGUGGGUGAUCUGCCCUGCACUUCGGGAUAAGCCUGGGAAACUGGGUCUAAUACCGGAUAUGACCAUGAGAUGCAUGUUUUGUGGUGGAAAGCUUUUGCGGUGUGGGAUGGGCCCGCGGCCUAUCAGCUUGUUGGUGGGGUUAAGGCCUACCAAGGCGACGACGGGUAGCCGGCCUGAGAGGGUGACCGGCCACACUGGGACUGAGAUACGGCCCAGACUCCUACGGGAGGCAGCAGUGGGGAAUAUUGCACAAUGGGCGCAAGCCUGAUGCAGCGACGCCGCGUGAGGGACGACGGCCUUCGGGUUGUAAACCUCUUUCAGCACAGACGAAGCGCAAGUGACGGUAUGUGCAGAAGAAGGACCGGCCAACUACGUG